AUAAUAACCCUGGCCGGGGAUUGAUACCUGAUCAGAAGGUGGUUCACCCAGGGACGGGCUAACCAUGCACCCCCGUUUAUGCGACCCCUGCUAAUUCCCCAAAUGUGGGAAUUCGACGCCAUAAUUUGUGGGAGCGGUAGAGGGGGCUGCGUUUCAGCGCUCUUCCCCC